rnacentral:rRNA from 1 species
CUAACUACGUGCCAGCAGCCGCGGUAAUACGUAGGGUGCAAGCGUUAUCCGGAAUUAUUGGGCGUAAAGAGCUCGUAGGCGGUUUGUCGCGUCUGCUGUGAAAUCCCGAGGCUCAACCUCGGGUCUGCAGUGGGUACGGGCAGACUAGAGUGCGGUAGGGGAGAUUGGAAUUCCUGGUGUAGCGGUGGAAUGCGCAGAUAUCAGGAGGAACACCGAUGGCGAAGGCAGAUCUCUGGGCCGUAACUGACGCUGAGGAGCGAAAGGGUGGGGAGCAAACAGGCUUAGAUACCCUGGUAGUCCACCCCGUAAACGUUGGGAACUAGUUGUGGGGUCCAUUCCACGGAUUCCGUGACGAAGCUAACGCAUUAAGUUCCCCGCCUGGGGAGUACGGCCGCAAGGCUAAAACUCAAAGGAAUUGACGGGGACCCGCACAAGCGGCGGAGCAUGCGGAUUAAUUCGAUGCAACGCGAAGAACCUUACCAAGGCUUGACAUAUACCGGAAACGGCCAGAGAUGGUCGCCCCGCAAGGUCGGUAUACAGGUGGUGCAUGGUUGUCGUCAGCUCGUGUCGUGAGAUGUUGGGUUAAGUCCCGCAACGAGCGCAACCCUCGUUCUAUGUUGCCAGCACGUAAUGGUGGGAACUCAUGGGAUACUGCCGGGGUCAACUCGGAGGAAGGUGGGGAUGACGUCAAAUCAUCAUGCCCCUUAUGUCUUGGGCUUCACGCAUGCUACAAUGGCCGGUACAAAGGGCUGCGAUACCGUAAGGUGGAGCGAAUCCCAAAAAGCCGGUCCCAGUUCGGAUUGAGGUCUGCAACUCGACCUCAUGAAGUCGGAGUCGCUAGUAAUCGCAGAUCAGCAACGCUGCGGUGAAUACGUUCCCGGGUCUUGUACACACCGCCCGUCAAGUCAUGAAAGUCGGUAACACC